AGUGAACGCUGGCGGUAGGCCUAACACAUGCAAGUCGAACGGCAGCACAGUAAGAGCUUGCUCUUACGGGUGGCGAGUGGCGGACGGGUGAGGAAUACAUCGGAAUCUACUUUUUCGUGGGGGAUAACGUAGGGAAACUUACGCUAAUACCGCAUACGACCUACGGGUGAAAGCAGGGGAUCUUCGGACCUUGCGCGAUUGAAUGAGCCGAUGUCGGAUUAGCUAGUUGGCGGGGUAAAGGCCCACCAAGGCGACGAUCCGUAGCUGGUCUGAGAGGAUGAUCAUUCACACUGGAACUGAGACACGGUCCAGACUCCUACGGGAGGCAGCAGUGGGGAAUAUUGGACAAUGGGCGCAAGCCUGAUCCAGCCAUACCGCGUGGGUGAAGAAGGCCUUCGGGUUGUAAAGCCCUUUUGUUGGGAAAGAAAAGCAGCAGGUUAAUACCCCGCUGUUCUGACGGUACCCAAAGAAUAAGCACCGGCUAACUUCGUG
rnacentral:rRNA from 1 species